CAUCGUAGCUGGCUCAGAAGCAGGAGGGAGCGGGGGAAUAUCUGAGACGCGGCUUGUGGUCGUGGACUGGGAGCCCAACUAUCCAUCUGCAUCGGCAUCGCUGUUUGAUUUCUGAGGGCAUUCACAGGCCAUGUCUGCUGCAACUUUGAUCUCAAGUCCAGGGUUUCCAUAUCCGAGCCACUUGUCCUUCUCAACUCGAAGCACUUGUUCCGUUCUGUUUCGCUCUAAUCCUUCUAGCGGAACCUUUUCUUCAAUUCCACACUCUCUCAAUCACCGAUUCUUCAGACUAACAUCCAGGUCAUUUGCCCGGACCUCAUCCUUCCAUGGCUUCAAGCGCCUUUCCCCUGUCAUGGAGUGGCAGGAUUGCACGGUUAAGCUGGAGGUUGACGUGCCUGCCUCGGUUGCCUAUGCCUGUUAUUCUGAUCGUGAAGCCAUCCCUCGUUGGAUGCCCUUUAUUUCCUCUGUUACGAUUUUGCCAGAAAAGCCUGACCUCUCAAGAUGGUCCUUGAAGUAUAAAGCAUUCGGUCGUGAUAUCGAGUACUCUUGGCUUGCCCGUAAUAUGCAGCCUAUUCCAAAUCAGAAAAUACACUGGCGAUCUCUGGAAGGUCUACCUAACAGAGGUGCUGUUCGAUUUUAUCCAAAAGGUCCGUCAUCAUGUGUAGUAGAACUGACAGUAUCAUAUGAAGUUCCUCAGCUCUUGGCUCCCGUGGCAUCGGUAUGUAGUCAGACACAAAAAGACAAUUCAUGUCAGGAUUGUCGAUUGGAAGACAGUAAGACAAAACUGAAAGACGUUGUUGUAGUCCAUACCAUUCCGUCGCCUUUUCCCCAUGUCAUGGGAGAAAAUCAGCAGAUUGACGUUUAAAUUGGGCUUUAAUCCACUCCGACUUUCUUUCAUCUAUAAUAUCUUUUGCAGGCACUGCAACCAUUUCUUGAAGGUUUACUGCAGCGUGGCUUGGAACGAUUUGCUAGUCUGGCCAGGAGAUACUAAAGCACCUGGCCUGGCGGGUUCCUUCUGACUAUGUAAAUAGCACCCACCCUAUUUUAUUUUGAUUGUCCUAACUCUUUUAACACCGGAAUAGAAAUCAAAAGUGCAUUUAAAAAAAAAAUCGCUGAUUUUGGGUACUGUUUUCUAUUUUGGAAAAAUUUUGUUAUAGUUAACAUGCCAGUUUUGGAUUUAGAUUGAUGGUUAUCCCAUUCUUGAAGUAAAAAGUUUCCUAUUAGUGUUGAUGGAAAUUCCGAUCUAAUUAUGGGAAUGAACAACUAAGGUUGAAAGCAUGAAGCCAUGUCUACCUCAAUUGCUAUCUUGAUAAGACUUCAACAAAGAUAUGCUCUUAACUUCGCUCUUGCUUAAUUAUGAGAUUAUGGGGAUGUGUUUAUUAUUUUGUUCAAGGUAUCAUGCUGAUGACAGCUAGAUUCUUCGUAUACAACACAAAAGGAUUGCUCUCAAGGCCUUGGAUUUUUUCUAUCGGUUUGUCAAUUGAAAGUCCCACCCAGGGAUUUCUAUUAUCUUUAUAUCAACAAUAGGCGACUCUAACAUGGGCAUGGGUCCAGUGACGAUGUAGUACGAGCUAGGGGAUGAUGAUGGUGAUGCCUAGAACAGGCGAAGCAUCGUUUGAAUGAUGCUAGCAUUUACUUGUUUGCCGUUCGGUGUCUGUCCUUGAUUUCUCGUACUAAUAAAUGUUUGAUUACUUUCA